UACGGAGGGUGCAAGCGUUAUCCGGAUUCACUGGGUUUAAAGGGAGCGUAGGAGGGCAGGUAAGUCAGUGGUGAAAUCUUCGAGCUUAACUCGGAAACUGCCGUUGAUACUAUCUGUCUUGAAUACCGUGGAGAUGAGCGGAAUAUGUCAUGUAGCGGUGAAAUGCGUAGAUAUCUGGAGGAACACCGGUGGCGAAGGCGGCAUCCUGGACCGGCAUUGACGCUGAGGCGCGAAAGCCAGGGGAGCAAACGGG
rnacentral:rRNA from 1 species